rnacentral:lncRNA from 1 species
CGACACCAAGCUUCUUUCAAUCUCCUCGCCGCAGAUCAAACUCUCCUAUUCCUCGGAUAAACCUCUCCUUCUGCGGCGGCGAUAUAAAAAGAACAAAACCUCCCAAACAACAAGAAAAGUUUCAACCUUUUAUUGUCUGUUCCAUCUCUCUCUCUUUCACAUAUUUCGAUAAACAUGGCUCGUUCUCUCUCUAGCGUUAAGUUCGUAUCCGCUUUCGUCUCUCAACAACUCUCCAAUGCAAUCUUCCGGUAUGUUCUGCGUAUGCUCUGUUUUUCCUCUGCUUGUGCUCUGUUUUUACUCUGUUUAUGUUUUGUUUACUAAACGCUGUCGUUUUUGUUUUUCUUUUGUUUAACAGACGUGGUUUUGCUGCCACGACGGCGCAACCGAGUGGUGUAAAAGGUGGAGCCGUUGUUUCGGCAGUGAUGAAGAAGGGAAUGGAAGAAUCGAACCAGAAGAUUGCUGCUUGGAUUCCAGACCCCAAAACCGGCUAUUACAGACCGGAAACCGGUUCCAACGAGAUUGAUCCAGCUGAGCUACGAGCAGCUCUCUUGAACAAAAAGCAGUGAUUGAUUAAUUGAGUAAAG